UACUUCUUAGAAGUUGUCAAAUUUAUUUCAAAAAAGAUUUUUGUAAUAUGCUUUCUAUAUCCUUUUAAAUUCUGUAAAAUCUGUGGUAAUGUCUCCUAGAUGUUGAUAUUGUAAUUUUAAAAAUGUAUAAUUGAUAUUGUGUAAUUGGAAGAAAAGGUCUAAAGGAGCAGGGGAAGUGGGAGCAGAAGGGAAAAGGAAAGAAGGGAAAAGAAAAAAUAUGAGAAAAGGAAAAAAUGGAAACAAAGUCUUUGCAAAUAGGGAAGGGUGGAGGGGGUGAAGGGAGGGCAGGGAAAGGGGAAAAAAUGAGAAUCAAGAUACUCAUGUAAUAGUACAAGAUCCCAGUGAUGAAUGUAACUGUAUUUUAUACCUACAAUGUACCAUUAAACUUAAUGGGGAAAAAAGGCCCUUGUUGUUAUGAUUGUUUAUUUUAUUUUGCACCCUGAAUAUUUGUGUCCUGCCCGAAAUUCAUAUGUUGAAACUUAAUCCCCAGUAUGAUGGUUUUAGAAGGUGGGCCUCUGAGAGGUGACUUGGUCCUGACCUGGGUUCAUUCCCCAGUACCACUAAAAAUAAGGAAGAGGAACCCAAGAGAACUAACUCAACCUUUUGAAUAGAGAGAAAGCACCGUCUAUGAACCAGAAAGCAGGCCCCGAGCAGAUACUGCAUCUGCUAAGGGUUUGAUUUUGGACUCUGCAGCCUCCAGAACUGUAAGUACUAUAAUAAACUUCACCUGUUUAUAAGCCACUCAUCUGCCUAUGAUAUUUUGUUAAAGUGGCCUGAACAGACUGAGGCACCCUUUUUCACUUCAAGGACUAAAUGUCUUCUCUUACCUCUCUUUGGAGACUCCCUUUGAAGGGUUUUUGUUCCUCCAAUCUCCUGCUUUGGUCUUUUUCUUUCAUUCUAGGUCUUCCCAUAAACAUCUGGUGAUCCCUGGCUGCCUUAAGAUUUCUUCCAAGAUUCCCCAAGAGCUGGUGGGCAGACUCUAUGUGCACACAUGCGGCUGCUCCCCCAGGGUUCUCAAAGCUGAGCUCAGUGCCAAGCAGCAGGAGCUGCCCCAUAUUCUCCCUUCUACCCUGCAGAGAACCUGCUCAGAAGAUCCAGAGCUCAGCUACAGUGGGGCUAAACAGCACUGCACCAAUGAACUCGAGCACCCAGCCACCCUGAGAAAGAUGGUUUUGAGAGGAAAACACAUUAUUUUUUCUAAACAGCAACUUAGAAAUAAAAUUUUGGACCAUGUCCUGCUUGCAAACUGAGGUUCAAUUCUCCUAUAAUGGGCCAGCUCUGGUCGUGCUGAGAGAGAAGGGCCAUUAGCAGAAAUGAAAAACAAGAAAAAUCUUUCAGUCCAUUAGGUUAAAAGAGGAUUUUUCUGUCCUUUAUUAUUUAUUAUUUGUGACUUCAGUUACUGUUUCCUGGAACAAAUGUUAUGGUUCUACUUCAGUGUCUAUUUACUGAAGCAAAUAGAUGCUUAUCAGCCGUCAGGCUACAAAUUGCUAAGCAGUCUGUAAGGGCUUUGCUGCUGUGGCCUCUUGCAGUUCUUUGAUGUCUUGUAAGGCAACUUAUUUUCUGUGCCUCAGACAGUUUCCAAAAUGACUGCAAUCAUGCAUGUGUGUGUAUGUGUUGAAUGUUUAAAUAAAAAAUUAUUACCAUAAAAGACACAUUGCCAUUUGUCCCCCUUAAAAUACUCCCUUUUGCUUUGAACACACUUAUCCCAUCAUUCUUGCCACUUUCCGAAGCAGUUCUAGAAGUCCUCCUUGUGUGUCUUUACUAGGUGUGAUCAGAAAUAAAGUGAAUGCUGCUGCCAAGUGCCAUCCAAGGAAAAAGCAGGUUCAUAAAACAUUUGGGUGUGUCCUCAUCUACCCUAUUCACUGGAUCCGGCACUGUGCCACCUCUGGCUCUUUUUAAAAAUAUUUAUUUAUGUAUUUAAAAAAAUUUUUUUUAAUUUUUUGGUACUGGGGAUCGAACUUGGGUCCUUGCACUUUCGAGGCAGGCAGCAGAACCACUGAGCUAAAUCCCUGGCCCCAAAAAUAUUUAUUUUUAAAGUACUGGGGAUUAAACUCAGGACCUUUGCACUGAGCUACAUCCCCACACCUCUUAUUCCUAGAGUGCUGGGAUUACAGAUGUGUACCACUACACCCAACUGACUUUUGGCUCUUCCCCAAAGUCAAAAUGACCAUGAAAGGUAAAGGCUUCAAAUUGAUUCAGGAUAUAGAGACAACCACAAUAGCACAACUAAAGACACUCACAAAAGAGGACUUGUAGAACUGCUUCAGAAAGUGCCAAGAACAACGGAAUACAUGUGUGUGAAAUGAAGGAGAAUAUUUUUUCUUUUUGAGACAGGGUCUCACUAUGCAGUCAGGCUGACCUUGAACUCAUUAUAUAGUUCAGGAUAAUCAUUCAGCCUCAGCCUCCUGAGUGCUGGGAUUACAGGUGUCCACUACCACAGCAAGCGGCUAUGUGUCUUUUACUGUAAUUUCAAAAACCAUUCACUAUAUUUUAGAUCACACCUCACACACAUACAUAGGAAUCUAUACCUAUACCUGUAAUAUGUCUAUAUAUUAUAUAUGUUGCAUUUGAAUGCAUUUAACUGCAAGAACUGAGCAAAGGCAGACUUAGUUUUUACUUUAUAAAUGUCACAGGAGUUAGCAGUCCCCAGAGUCCCCAGUAUAUAGGAGGACGUGGGCAGAAGCUAAGCAAGCACUCUGGGAGGAAGAAAGCCCGUCAGGGGCUGUGUGGCCACGGGAGGAUGUCGUGAUUCCCCCAUGCGAAUUCCCCAGCCGCUGUUUCAGGACCACACCGCGGUGGUAACUUGAUCUAAAUUUUUCAGUUUUUCUUUUGUGUUCCCCUUUUUUAGACUCUAAGGCAGGGGUUGACAGGGCAGCCUGAAUGAGACACCCAAAUGAAAGAGGAAGUGCCUCAGCCCUAACCAAACAGAACAGCCACCCAUUCAAUCAGUGACCUCUAUGGAAACACUGAAGACGUCCUCCGUGUCCUUUAGGCUUUCUGGGGGAGGGAACAGUUGCUAUGAGAGGCAGCCAGGUUCCUUCCGGCCAGGUCAGUGCAGGGAACCCACAGAGACAGCUGGCACCUCCCUGGAGUCAGAAGGAGGGCAGCCCAAAGCCAGUCGUCUGAUCCCACUGAGCAGCACUUCCUGCGUUGCCUUUGCUACCAGUUAGGACCUCUUCCCCAGAAGCUGGGAACCACUUAGCCCCCAGGGUGGAGAUGGCCCAGGCUGUGUGAAAGGCAAGUGCUUUCCGAGAGGGCUACUCUAGCCCUAUGAGCCGUUAACACCUUGUCUUAAAUUUGCUGCUCAAGGCAGUUAACAGCUCCCCAUGGGACACUUGUGGGUCCCCUUCUUGCUAACUUGGGCACAGUGCUGGCAGGUGCUUGAGAGGCCCAUGGCAAGGGUGGAAACAAAUGCGGUGCAGUAGAAGAAACUGGAAAGAGCAUUGCCAGAAGUGACAUUAGCAUGGUCUAAACAUAUGUAUUUCUUGUGCAAUGUAAAAAAACAAAAAUUUUUUUUGAAAUAGGGUCUCGCUAUAUAGCCCAGGCUGGCUUUGAACUCGAGAUGAUCCUCCUGCCCCAGCCUCCCAAGUCCUGGGAUUACAGGCGUGAACCACGAUGGCUGGGUUUAAAAUUUUUUAGUUUAGCAUAUUAAAAAGGACAGCGAUAGACAAAAGAACAAAAUUGCACCCAAUCCUUUUGCCCAGAAGUAGCUCAUGUGAACGUUGACUGACUUUUAGCCUUUUUUGUGAUGCGCAUUAUUUGAAGACAAUUGUGACAGUAUGUGACUGACUUCCAAAACUGUACAUCAUGACCUUUCCAUUUCUUCCUUAUUCCUGAAUGAAUACUGCAUGUGUAAGUGUUCAUCAGAGCAUUGUUAGUAAUUCUGAAAACCUGAAAAUUAAUUUUAAUUUGAAAAUUCAAUGUUUGUGAAUAAAUUCAAGAAGUUAUAACUAACUUCACAAUAAAAUUUUAUGUAGUCAGUCAUUAAAAAGGUAAAUUUCAUGCUCUAUUACUGUGAAGGAUGUCUCCAAGAUUUGCUAAAUUUUUCUUUGAGUUUCAAAACAGUUUUGUAAUUUGAUACUAUUUAUAUAAAAAGCUGAGGAUGUUAUGUGUAAAGAAUUAUAUCUGCUUGGACGGGGAUUUAGCUCAGUGGUUCCGCCACCUGCCUCGCAAGCAGAAGGAUCGGAGUUCGAUCCCCAGUACCAAAAAAAAAAAAAGAAUUCUAUCUGCUGGUGGCUAUGGUAACAGCACACGCCUGUAAUCCUAGCUCUUUGGGUGACUGUGGCAGGAGGAUUACAGCUUUGAGCCUUGCCUGGACAAUUUAGCAAUUUGGUAGUACCCUGCUCAAAACUAAAAAAGGCUGGUGAUGCAGGUCAACAUGAAGGCCAUGGGUUCAAUCCCCAGUACCACAAGAAAAACCAAAACAUAUUUGCCUUUCUAGAAGACAGGCUUUCGGUUUACUUUCUUCUUUAUAUUUUUAUUAAUAUUUAAAUAUUUGUGUGCAAUGAGCAUUUACUAGUUUUAUAUUUUUAAAACUAUUCAUUUUGAAAAAUUAUAUAAACUUACAUUUGUUGAUAUAAAAAGCACUCUAUAGUGAGUGAAAAUGAGGGUU
rnacentral:lncRNA from 1 species